rnacentral:rRNA from 1 species
AUGAAAGCCAUCACCAAAGCGUUGUGCUCUCGGUUGCAAAAAUACAUUCACUCGCUUGUUGACCCAGACCAGACUGGCUUUCUUCCUGGCCGGCGCAUCUCGGAAAAUAUUGUCUACGCUACCGACCUCCUUCGCACAUGUCACAACCGGAAAGCCCCCGCCGUUGUUUUGAAAAUCGAUUUUCGGAAAGCCUUCGACUCGGUUAACUGGUCCAGCCUUCUUACCAUCCUUUCCGUUUGGGGCUUCGACUCGAGAUGGUGUGGUUGGAUCCAUGAUAUCCUUACCACUGGUCACACCUCGAUUCUUUUGAACAAUGUCCCCGGAGACUGGAUCCUCUGUCGUAAUGGCCUUCACCAGGGUGACGCCCUCUCCCCGUAUCUUUUCAUCAUCGUUGCUGAUGUGCUUCAACAUCUUAUU